rnacentral:lncRNA from 1 species
GGCUACGGCUGCCUACAGCUACAGCUCUUGCCGACACGUGCGAGAGCUGACGUCCCAUUGGGAUUGGGAGCAACCUCCAGGUGAGUGGUUCCCUGGAGAAAAUUAAUAGACAUUGGCCUUGCCAGCGACACGAAUUUUCGGUGUAUUUAUUUAUCUCUCUCUAGUGGAAUAAUUACCACAAAAAAACCACACUGCACAACCAAGUCAAAUGUCAGGGGAAAGCUAAAGUAGUUUGAUUUGUGGGAAGGAAGUUUUAGAUAAAGUUUUCCGCGAAAACGUUGACUGAUGGACGAUACAAACAGGAUCACGUUGUGUCCCCAUUCGACACCAGGACAAACCAUAACACCCAUGUCAGUGGGAUAACCCACAAAAUUUCAGUCUUUUGAAGCCUUGCUUAUAAAAUAUGUAUAUGUAUUACAGUUCAGUUGUUCUUGGCAUUGGGGGGUGUCCGUGUGUGUGUGUUUGUGUUUGUGCGUCAACGAAUUAUGUCCCCCAGAUGUCAGUGGAAUACAAGCGAGAAACAUGACAGUUCCGCCUCCGCCACAAGUAACAGCAACAGCAACAGCAACAGCCAUAGCCACAGCCAAAGCAAACUGACAAGGACAACCGACAGUUUGUGAUGCACUGGGAGCAACUAUCCGUUCCAUAAGUAUUCAUGCAUUUAUCCAACAUGUUCCGCCUUUCUUUUCCUCCUUCUCUUUGUGCAGCGCAUGGAGAACCUCAUGUGUGAGAGAGUGUCCUUUCUUUACUUUUCUUUUAUAAAUCUCUGCUCCCUCCUCUCUCUCGCUGUCUCUCUGGUAAGGGGGGGCCGUGGUAAGGAGCGGAAAAUGUGUUCCAUUUGUCAACAGCAGAGGGAGGAACAGGACUGGCGCUGGACGUGGCAGAC